rnacentral:rRNA from 1 species
CCAAAUGUUCACCACCCUGAAUGUGCCCAAUCUUGUCUGAUCUUGGAAGCUAAGCAGGGUUGGGCUUGGUUAGUACUUGGAUGGGAGACCACCUAGGAAUACCAGUUGCUGUAGGCA